UACGGGGGGGGCAAGCGUUGUUCGGAAUUACUGGGCGUAAAGGGCUCGUAGGUGGCCAACUAAGUCAGACGUGAAAUCCCCGGGCUCAACCCGGGAACUGCGUCCGAUACUGGCAGGCUUGAAUCCGGGAGAGGGAUGCGGAAUUCCAGGUGUAGCGGUGAAAUGCGUAGAUAUCUGGAGGAACACCGGUGGCGAAGGCGGCAUCCUGGACCGGUAUUGACGCUGAGGCGCGAAAGCCAGGGGAGCAAAGCGGG
rnacentral:rRNA from 1 species